AGCUUUGCGCAGUGGCAGUAUCAUAGCCAAUGAGGUUAAUCUGAGGCGUGAUUAUUGCUAGUUGAAAACUUUUCCCAAUACCCUGCCAUGAACACUUGAAAUAUAGUUGGCAUUGGCAAUUUUUGACAGUCUCACAUGAGA
ensembl:snRNA U4 U4 spliceosomal RNA